GACAUGUACGGAACUUGCCAGAGAUGGGCUUGGUGCUCGAAAGAGAGCCGUAACACAGGUGCUGCAUGGCUGUCGUCAGCUCGUGUCGUGAGAUGUUGGGUUAAGUCCCGCAACGAGCGCAACCCUUGUCAUUAGUUGCUACGAAAGGGCACUCUAAUGAGACUGCCGGUGACAAACCGGAGGAAGGUGGGGAUGACGUCAAGUCCUCAUGGCCCUUAUGGGUAGGGCUACACACGUCAUACAAUGGCCGGUACAAAGGGCAGCCAACCCGCGAGGGGGAGCCAAUCCCGUAAAGCCGGUCGUAGUCCGGAUCGCAGUCUGCAACUCGACUGCGUGAAGUCGGAAUCGCUAGUAAUCGUGGAUCAGCAUGUCACGGUGAAUACGUUCCCGGGUCUU
rnacentral:rRNA from 1 species